GUCGGUCCCAAGGGUUGGGCUGUUCGCCCAUUAAAGCGGCACGCGAGCUGGGUUUAGAACGUCGUGAGACAGUUCGGUCCCUAUCCGCUGCGCGCACAGGAAUCUUGAGAAGAGCUGUCUCUAGUACGAGAGGACCGAGACGGACUGACCUCUGGUGUGCCAGUUGUUCCGCCAGGAGCAUGGCUGGUUGGCUACGUCGGGAUGUGAUAACCGCUGAAAGCAUCUAAGCGGGAAGCACACUUCAAGAUGAGGGUUCCCACAGAUGAAUCUGGUAAGGCCCCCGAGAGACCAUCGGGUUGAUAGGCCGGACGUGGACGCACUGCAAGGUGCGGAGCUGACCGGUACUAAUAGGCCGAGGGCUUGCUACA
rnacentral:rRNA from 1 species